GACGAACGCUGGCGGCGUGCUUAACACAUGCAAGUCGAACGGAAAGGCCCUGCUUUUGUGGGGUGCUCGAGUGGCGAACGGGUGAGUAACACGUGAGUAACCUGCCCUUGACUUUGGGAUAACUUCAGGAAACUGGGGCUAAUACCGGAUAGGAGCUCCUGCUGCAUGGUGGGGGUUGGAAAGUUUCGGCGGUUGGGGAUGGACUCGCGGCUUAUCAGCUUGUUGGUGGGGUAGUGGCUUACCAAGGCUUUGCAGGGUAGCCGGCCUGAGAGGGUGACCGGCCACAUUGGGACUGAGAUACGGCCCAGACUCCUACGGGAGGCAGCAGUGGGGAAUAUUGCACAAUGGGCGGAAGCCUGAUGCAGCAACGCCGCGUGCGGGAUGACGGCCUUCGGGUUGUAAACCGCUUUCGCCUGUGACGAAGCGUGAGUGACGGUAAUGGGUAAAGAAGCACCGGCUAACUACGUG
rnacentral:rRNA from 1 species